rnacentral:rRNA from 1 species
UACGGGGGGGUAAGCGUUGUUCGGAAUUACUGGGCGUAAAGGGCUCGUAGGCGGCCAACUAAGUCAGACGUGAAAUCCCUCAGCUUAACUGGGGAACUGCGUCUGAUACUGGAUGGCUUGGAUUUGGGAGAGGAAUGCGGAAUUCCAGGUGUAGCGGUGAAAUGCGUAGAUAUCUGGAGGAACACCGGUGGCGAAGGCGGCAUUCUGGACCAAUAUUGACGCUGAGGAGCGAAAGCCAGGGGAGCAAACGGG